GAUUCUGCUUUCUAUUGUAGGGUGUUUGGGGUGGAUAUAUCGUUGCCGGGGAUUGGUUCAAAUGUUGAUCUUGGCCAUUUUUGUGACCUUUCUUCACCAUUGAGGGUAUUUCUGUUAUUUUCCACGUGAAACGAGACAGUAAGGCUCUGAGGGACUGCGUGUGGUGUUAGGACAGCUGACGGCCCUUGGCUGCCUUGGUGUUUUGUGGAUAAGGGAAAGGGGAAGUUUUCCCCAGCCACUCAUGUUACGAGCUUGCAAGUUACCUAAUUUUCCUGCAGCUGUAUUAGGCUGUCCAUCUGUAAGCAAGUCUCCUUGUAGAUCUGUAUAAUCACUGUUUCCUUCAGGACCUGUGAUGGAAAAAUCUAGUACUGGCCAGCCGAUGGGCCUGUAAUGAGAAGAGAGUGGACCCGGAAUUAGCUGUCCAGACCUGCCAGAUGAGUAAGUGCAACCUUAUGUUAUGUGGGGCCACAAAUGCUGGGAGGAGGGUAGCAUCCAUCCCAUCAGCUGUAACAUUAUUUAACAUGGUGUUGAAAUGUCUUCCCUGAGUCUCUAAGAUCGGAACUUCCAACAAUGUCAGGAUCACUCCCUGAGCGCUGCUCAGACACUGUUUCUAAUCGAUGUCUGUAACUAGUCAGUGGCAUCUUUUUCCAGUUCACCGUGAGUGCCAUUAUUACAGACGUACUGAAUUUAUUAGAAUGUCACAUUUCCAAAAAGCCUGAUCUUGCCAUUUUCACAUCAGAGCUCUGAUCUGUCUUUUUAUCCUUUUGGAAAACACUUGUAAUACCAGGCAGAAGCAGGCUGGACUGGAUGGGAUUGUGAAAAACAAACUUCAGGAAUCCAGAGACUGUGGGAGUGCUGUUUUUUUCAGGGCCAGCAAAUUACCUCAGAUAUUACUGGCCUUCUUGGAAACCAGCCUCAUUAAUCCUGCUAUGAUGCCAAGAGGUAGCCCAGCAACUCACACUUUGCCUUGCUCUGAGCAACUUUCUUUUCUGGCCAUCUCCGACGCCUUAUGCCGAAGCUGAUGUGGCUCAGCACCAAGUUCAGGCACCAAGACGGUGCUUGUUAACUGGCAAUGCGGAAAAGGUCUCCUCUCUUUCAUUGUCUGUGUAAAGUUACUUCUUUCCUGGGCAGUGGUUAAUUUGUUGAAAAUGUGUGGAAGAGUUUUCACAGUUGGGGUGGGGGGAAAGCGCUAAAUAGAAAUGUGAACUCUUCCAAGGUGCAUUCAGAGACACUUCUAACCUCUAGUUUCAUAGAAACCUUGGGCUCCUCUGUUGCUCUAUUAGCACGGGUUUUAUCCAGAAGGAGGCAUCACAGAACCUGAAUUUCAUUCACCAAAGGUUAAAAGAAAAUCCACAUUUCCUUGUGUAUGGAAACUAAAGUGUGUAGUCUUUAGAGGGCAUGUUUAAAGACUUUUUGUUUAUCCCUGUAAUUGGUGAAAUUACUUUAAAGCUGUGAAAGAUGGGGGUGGUGAUAGUUUCCUACUCAGUGAAAACCUGAAGCCUGAGAUACUUAGAAAAACCUGUCCUAGGCCCAUGUUCCUUCACCAAGUGACAUGAUGGUGAUCAAAACUGGCUUAUUUCCUAGUCAAAACAGUUGUGAAACUUAAGAAUAACUGUGAGGCCUUCUUCCCUUCCGUACACACUUGUUCCCACUGCCCAUCAAAGU
rnacentral:lncRNA from 1 species